UUAGCAGUCAGCUCAUUUUCCGAAAAGGCCUCUUAGGGAAUAUGCUCUUGGAUAUGCCCUUGGGUGGAAAAAUGUCUGUGAUGAGCAUCAUAUUUGCUUGGCUGAGAAUUUCUUGCCUCAAAUCUAUUUCAGUCACAGAAUAUAAUCUGCAAGCUGUUAUUGCAUGCUGUGAAGCAUAUUGCUAAUUGCCCAUUACCCAUUCAAGCUCUUGACUAUCAAUGAACACUCGAGACAAAAAGAAUCGAAUCGUCAAAAUACAGAGGAAUGUACUGCUUUCUGAUCAAUUUGGACGAGGGGUGAAUGGCACUACCUACAAUAAAAUCAUGAAGCAGCCUCGUGGGCUUCUCUGGAUGGCUUGAUAAGAAACCAUCACCCUGUAACGAUAGUGACUGAUAAGCUGGACAACAGGAAAAUAAGAUAAUGAUGUUUUAAAGGGUUGUUUCAAGGCGAUCGAUCAUGAACUUCCUGUCCAACGACGUUGAACUCAUAAUUAUGCUCUUGGUUGCUCCAAAUGAGUGAUGCAAUGGUUCUCUCCAGUUUGACUUCAUUGAUUGUCUAUGAAACUAACAGUUUCAUCAACAAUAAAAUAAAUCAUUGUAAUAAAAAAUAUUGAGUUUUCUAUAUUUUAAUUUGCAGUCGUUGCUCAUCUGAGUGGGUAACUCAUCAUUUACAAUUCAAAUAUGGAUAUGCCUAUAUAUCCAUCUGUUCUUAGUAGGAAAUAGUUAGUCAACCAUUAGUUGUCUAGCAUUGUUAUUUUUCCUUCAACUCUGUGAUGUUCCAAAAACUCUGUUUCGCUCCCCCAUGGUAGCCAAUUUGAAUGCAAGUUGGAAGUGGAUUUAAAUUU